rnacentral:rRNA from 1 species
UACGAAGGGGGCUAGCGUUGUUCGGAAUUACUGGGCGUAAAGAGUUCGUAGGCGGUCUGCUAAGCUAGAUGUGAAAUCCCAGGGCUUAACCUUGGAACUGCAUUUAGAACUGGUAGGCUAGAGAGUGUUAGAGGUUGGUAGAAUUUCUAGUGUAGGGGUGAAAUCCGUAGAUAUUAGAAGGAAUACCGAUGGCGAAGGCAGCCAACUGGGACAUUUCUGACGCUGAGGAACGAAAGCGUGGGGAGCAAACAGG